rnacentral:rRNA from 1 species
UACGUAGGGUGCAAGCGUUAAUCGGAAUUACUGGGCGUAAAGCGUGCGCAGGCGGUUCGCUAAGACAGAUGUGAAAUCCCCGGGCUUAACCUGGGAACUGCAUUUGUGACUGGCGGGCUAGAGUAUGGGCAGAGGGGGGGUAGAAAUUCCACGUGUAGCAGUGAAAAUGCGUAGAGAUGUGGAGGAAUACCGAUGGCGAAGGCAGC